CCAAUAGCGUAUAUUAAAGUUGUUGCAGUUAAAAAGCUCGUAGUUGAAUUUCGGGAUCAAUAUAUUGGUCGUGCCUCCGGUAUGCACUGGUAUCAUUGAUUUCUACCUUCUGACGAACUAUGAUGUCAUUAAUUUGGUGUCAUAGGGAAUCAGGACUGUUACUUUGAAAAAAUUAGAGUGUUUAAAGCAGGCACACGCUUGAAUACAUUAGCAUGGAAUAAUGAAAUAGGACGUUUGACCCUAUUUUGUUGGUUUCUAGGAUCGACGUAAUGAUUAAUAGGGAUAGUUGGGGGCAUUAGUAUUCAAUUGUCAGAGGUGAAAUUCUUGGAUUUAUUGAAGACUAACUACUGCGAAAGCAUUUGCCAAGGAUGUUUUCAUUAAUCAAGAACGAAAGUUAGGGGAUCGAAGACGAUCAGAUACCGUCGUAGUCUUAACCAUAAACUAUGCCGACUAGGGAUCGGAUGAUGUUAAUUUUUUAAUGACUCAUUCGGCGCCUUACG
rnacentral:rRNA from 1 species